rnacentral:rRNA from 1 species
GAUGAACGCUGGCGGCGUGCCUAAUACAUGCAAGUCGAGCGAACAGACGAGGAGCUUGCUCCUCUGACGUUAGCGGCGGACGGGUGAGUAACACGUGGAUAACCUACCUAUAAGACUGGGAUAACUUCGGGAAACCGGAGCUAAUACCGGAUAAUAUAUUGAACCGCAUGGUUCAAUAGUGAAAGACGGUUUUGCUGUCACUUAUAGAUGGAUCCGCGCCGCAUGAGCUAGUUGGUAAGGUAACGGCUUACCAAGGCAACGAUGCGUAGCCGACCUGAGAGGGUGAUCGGCCACACUGGAAGUGAGACACGGACCAGACUCCUACGGGAGGCAGCAGUAGGGAAUCUUCCGCAAUGGGCGAAAGCCUGACGGAGCAACGCCGCGUGAGUGAUGAAGGUCUUCGGAUCGUAAAACUCUGUUAUUAGGGAAGAACAGAUGUGUAAGUAACUAUGCACGUCUUGACGGUACCUAGUCAGAAAGCCACGGCUAACUACGUG